UGGGGAAUAUUGGACAAUGGGGGCAACCCUGAUCCAGCAAUGCCGCGUGUGUGAAGAAGGUUUUCGGAUUGUAAAGCACUUUCGACGGGGACGAUGAUGACGGUACCCGUAGAAGAAGCCCCGGCUAACUUCGUGCCAGCAGCCGCGGUAAUACGAAGGGGGCUAGCGUUGCUCGGAAUGACUGGGCGUAAAGGGCGUGUAGGCGGUUUGUACAGUCAGAUGUGAAAUCCCCGGGCUUAACCUGGGAGCUGCAUUUGAUACGUGCAGACUAGAGUGUGAGAGAGGGUUGUGGAAUUCCCAGUGUAGAGGUGAAAUUCGUAGAUAUUGGGAAGAACACCGGUGGCGAAGGCGGCAACCUGGCUCAUAACUGACGCUGAGGCGCGAAAGCGUGGGGAGCAAACAGGAUUAG
rnacentral:rRNA from 1 species